rnacentral:lncRNA from 1 species
AUGGCGUUUUGGCAAACCCAGAUCUUUCUAAAAAUCGGAGUCGCCAGUAACAUAUGUAUAUACUUUGCUUCGUCCUUUCAAUUGUGCAUUUUGAUCAUGGUAAGUGAAAAGUUUGUCUUCGAUGAUUUUUCAGCCGGUGACGGAGAAUUUUCAGUUUCUGUGAUUGAUAACGACCAUUCUCGAGCAGCAGGACUCAUAGGUCUGUACGGGAUCUUAAGUAUUGAAGCCACCGAAAUCACGAUCAGAGAUCCUCAUACAGAUACCGUGAAAGUACGGUGGCCAUGGAGCACCUUCUACAACAGUUUCAUUCCUUCGCCAGUCAACUCAGAGGAUGUCAAUAGGAUAUGUGUACUCCAAACCGGAAGCUCCUUUAACUCGGGAAUAGGGAAUCUGAAGCUGUUUUGCCCGAACGCAAGCGAGCUUCACGAGAGUCUCUCAUCUUGCCAAAGGAACCGGAUCCAAAGAAGGCUCAUGCACACACCACUGCCAGCUCCACCGUCGCCGCCACCCUCCGUCUACCACUCUCAUUCCCACUCACACUCUCCCACGCCAUCGUUGACCUACUUCACGACCCCUCUCCCCGCGUCCCCACCCCCAGCCUCGCUGCUGGCCACCCGGAGGAUGAGCAGGAGCGAGGGAGAUCUCCAACUUUUCCUACUUCAACACACCUUGCCGCGGCAAGCCCUCCUCAGAAUAUCUCAGGACGAUCUAGCUACUAGUAAAAGUACGAACAAUCUAUUAUUUGCAAGCGUCGGGCUCUUAAUGACAACACCAGGGUCAAGCGUGCCAGGUUCUAUGACAAAUUUAGCUCAGUGCCAUGCUGUCCUACCGGUCCCUGUACCUGCACCUCAGUUCAUAGUCCAUAACCUAGAGAACCUGUACAAAGACAAAGACUCUGAGACUCAGUCCCAAACAGAGUCAGACGAAAGAAGUCGAGGCAAUAUCUAUGAGCGACUUCCGCGCAAGGUGUCCAACAACUCAAUGACCAGCCUAACAUCAGGCAUCUACGAGGAGAUUGACGACAAGCCGGUCCCUCCUCCUCAGACUUGCCCUCAACCCCCACCUCUGCCACCUAGGAGUCCUUUGAUCAAAAAAAGCACAGCGGUGAAGAAAAACCACAAAAGAAGAAGAAUCGGACUAUGUUCCAAUGUCGUUGAAAAGUCAGCCAGCUCAAGAAUAUGUAGCCAUGGUAGGAAGGAAACACAAGUCAAAACUGAUUGUAUCUGA